UCAUUGACCGGAAAGGAUUCCUUCCGGUCGAUGAGGGUGUUUUACCUCAUCGACCGGAAGGAAUCCCUUCCGGCCGAUGAGGUGUAACACCCUCAUCGGCCGGAAGGGAUUCCUUCCGGUCGAUGAGGUAAAACACCCCCAUCGACCGGAAGGAAUCCCUUCCGGUCGAUGA
rnacentral:miRNA from 1 species